rnacentral:misc_RNA from 1 species
GAAAUGCGAUAAGUAGUGUGAAUUGCAGAUUUCAGUGAAUCAUCGAAUCUUUGAACGCACAUUGCGCCCUUUGGUAUUCCGAAGGGCAUGCCUGUUUGAGCGUCAAUAAAACAAUCAAACCUUUGUUUGGUAUUGGGGGAAGUGACAAUUAUGCCACUCUUCUGUAAGCUAUUGGCGACGUUUGGUUUGGCUUGUAAGACGUAGUAUAAAGAACUCGUUGAAGCAAACUACCAGCUGUCUGUCAACUGAAUUAACUUGUUUUUUUAUUGCUUGACCUCAAAUCAGGUAGGGAUACCCCCUGAACUUAA